rnacentral:misc_RNA from 1 species
GAUGGAGAGCUCGUCGCCGGCGGUACCGUUCCCGCUCCUCCAGACGCCGAUCGAGUCCAACUACCGGGCGUGCACCAUCCCCUACCGCUUCCCCUCCGACAACCCCCGCAAGGCGACGCCGAUCGAGAUCCAGUGGAUCGAUCUGUUUCUCAAUUCGGUUCCCUCUUUCAGGCAACGAGCUGAGAGUGAUUCUACAGUAGUUGAUGCG